rnacentral:rRNA from 1 species
GGGGAAUCUUGCGCAAUGGGGGAAACCCUGACGCAGCAACGCCGCGUGCGGGACGAAGGCUCUCGGGUCGUAAACCGCUUUCAGGAGGGAAGAAAAUGACGGUACCUCCAGAAGAAGCCCCGGCCAACUACGUGCCAGCAGCCGCGGUAACACGUAGGGGGCGAGCGUUGUCCGGAUUUAUUGGGCGUAAAGAGCUCGUAGGCGGCUUGGUAAGUCGGGUGUGAAACCUCCAGGCUCAACCUGGAGACGCCACUCGAUACUGCUAUGGCUAGAGUCCGGUAGGGGAGCGUGGAAUUCCUGGUGUAGCGGUGAAAUGCGCAGAUAUCAGGAGGAACACCAGCGGCGAAGGCGGCGCUCUGGGCCGGAACUGACGCUGAGGAGCGAAAGCGUGGGGAGCGAAC